rnacentral:rRNA from 1 species
UACGUAGGGUGCAAGCGUUAAUCGGAAUUACUGGGCGUAAAGCGUGCGCAGGCGGCUUUGCAAGACAGAUGUGAAAUCCCCGGGCUCAACCUGGGAAUGGCAUUUGUGACUGGAAGGCUAGAGUGUGUCAGAGGGGGGUAGAAUUCCACGUGUAGCAGUGAAAUGCGUAGAGAUGUGGAGGAAUACCGAUGGCGAAGGCAGCCCCCUGGGUCGAUACUGACGCUCAUGCACGAAAGCGUGGGGAGCAAACAGG